AGAAGAAAGAAACAUACGCCGUCAAGAUGAGUUCCUUCACUAGUGAAGUUUUGUCCUUUGUUUCCAACCUUGUGAAGUCCGAAAGUAUGAUCCGGAAGAUUCAUGUUGUGCCAAACCUUAACGAAUCCGGUUCCGCAGUUCUCAAGAAUUAAGGAAAUAGGGGCGAGGUAUGCCUUUUCUUGAUUGGGAGCGUAGAGGCACAACCUGCUAAGAGAAGAUGGAUACCAGCAACCAGCGAGCAGGAUGCAAUUGACAUGUGUACUCCGAGCACUUGCGGAAGCGAGGAAACUCUACUGCAUGACGAGGCUUCAUAUCAUCCUGGUAUGAUGACUAAUGGCCCGA